rnacentral:lncRNA from 1 species
AACCAGCUGCAGUACUUUUUGUGUGGUGUGGAAGUGUUUGUUUUUUGCAAUAGAUUUUUGUUGCAGUUUAGGUUUGUAUUUUCUUUGUUUUGUAGUGCUUAUUAUGAAGGUUCGUAGGUUUAUGUCUGUAGGCCAGGCAGGUCAUUAAACUUAACAAAGAAUAAGUAAGUCGGGAGAGGGGAAUAGAAAUCUCCACAUACAUAUUCUUAAAAGCUGUAACACUCACCACAAAGAUCUGCUGAGUGAAGUCUGUGAGACGAACGCACCAAGUCUGGACGCUCUGUCAGGCUACAUUUUACGUUUUUGGGAGUGAGCAGGUGUUAUUCUGUUCCCCGGGUUGGUUUUGAAGUCAUGGCUCUCAAGUAAUUUUUGUGCUUCUCAAAAGUGCUGGAAUUGCAAAGAGUUCAAACAUUGAAUUAGUUGUGCAAUGGAAGGAGUAUUACCAGGACCCAGAUGCAGCCCAAGGAAAAAAGAAAACAAAAGGAGACACACACAGACACCAGAGCAUGAUGCAAGUGUGGCUUAAUCGGUGCUUGCACAUUGGGCUUGUUCUUUCCAAACCUGUUGCCCCGAUUCUGCAAGGCUAUCCUGCUGUAGAAGGAGGCCCUGGAGGACAAGACACCAUGUGGGGAAAACAGCCAUGGGGAGCAGAACCGAGGUAUCCCAGCUUAGCUCCCAACUGACAGCAGCCACAUGAGUGAGCAGAAAAACAACUUCCAAGGGUGAUUUAGCUACUGCUGCUGUGGAAUGUCAAAACUUUCAGCAAGGGAGCCCGAUGCAGAUCUGUUGAUAUGACACCAUUCCACAAGAAGACCAACUGAUGGCUUUGUGGCAAGUUGACUACACUGGGCUGUUUCUAUUCUGGGAAGACAGAGAUUUGUUCUAAGAGGAAUAGGCAUGUGUUGCAGGCAUAGGUUGACCUUUCCUGCCAUGGAGCCUCCUCUGGUACCACUAUUUGAAGGUUGAAGGAAUGUUGAUUCACCAGGAUUGAGUCAGACCAGCCAAGCCUAUGACCAUGAUGUCAACUGACUGUAUCACCUGUCACAUCAUCCAGAAGCUACAGACUUAUAAGGCAUUGGAAUAACUUGUAGAUGGCCCCGUUAAAGUACCAGCUUAGAGGCAACACUCCAUGAGAAUGAGACAUCAUCUCCAGGAUGGCACAUACACAUUGAAUCACACAGCAUUGAUAAGGAGAUGGCUCCCCAGUAGGAAGAAUAUAUUGGUCAUGAACCAAGGGAUGAAGCAGAAGUGUCUUGCUUCCUGUCCCUGCAGCCUCUCUUUCUGCAGUGCUAGAAAUCCUGGUCAAAAGGGGGCAUAAUUUUAUCAGGGGACACAGCAAAAGUCUCCACUACAUUGCAGCUAUGCCUGCUGCCUGGGGAUUUUGGGCUUCUUAUAAUUGGGACCAGCAAUAAAAGAGAAGAGUCACAGUCUUGGCAGGGCUAAUUGACCCUGAUCAGCAGGAGAAGAAAGGCUGUGGUUCCACUAUGAGGGUAGGGAAGACGUGUGGCACCACUGAUCCACUUUUGCAACCCAUGGUACUCCCGUGGCCAGUUGUGAUGACAGACAAGUGCAGGAACACUUUUGGGAAGGGCAUGGUGGCCAGAGUUCAGACCCCAUGGGAAUGAGGACCAGGGUCACACCACUGGAUAAGCCAGGAGAUUCUUCCCUUGACAUCACACCAGGAAAGUCUGACAACUUAACUUUAUUGGAUAUAGGCAACCGUUGAAUCCAAGUUUUGCCCACUGAAUCCAUCAAAUUGUUACAGCCAAUUCUAGAUGCCUGAGUGGACACAUGAAAUCCAGAUUCCCCAAAGGCCAUGGAAAGACACAGAAGACACAAGGGGAAGGACAUGGUGCGAAGACAGAGGCAGAGAGCUUGGAGUAUUGCAGCUACAGGCCAAGGAACGCCAGAGAUUGCUGGCAACCACAGAAGCCAGGAGAGGCGAGGAAGGAUUCUUCCCUGGACCCUUCACAGGGAGCACGGCCCUGCUAACAUGUUGAUUUCUGACUUCUGGCCUCCAGAGCUGUGAGCGAAUACAUUUCUAUUGUUUUAAAUGACACCAUCUCUGAUCAUUGGUUACGGCGGCCCCUAGGAAGCUAAUACAUGGCCCUAUGAAGCUGGGGCUCAGACCUCCGAGAAGGGCACACGGCUGCUGCUGAUCUGUUUAGGGGGAGCAAUGACGUUAGCGCUGAGGGGAAACGGAGGCUGGAACCAGCUGCUGCUGAGGGGGAAGCGCCAUUGCAGGGACAGCGCUCAAACCAGAAAAAGGCAGUCCUGCCCUCCUCCUCCUGCCUUCAAAUCUCCGCCAGAAUAGAACCCAAGCCAGCCGGCAAGGCAGAAGCGCAGCUGUGGAGCUCCCAGGUGCAAUGUCGCAGAGCAAAGGGAGUGUGCGCUGGGGGCCGAGAAGCAGCAGUAAGGUGUGGUGCGAGGUGCCUUUGUGUUUGUGGGGAUGAGGAGUUGGGUUGUGGGAUGUGGAAGAAGAGUUUGCUUGCAGAGAUACUAGUUUAAAAAGAAAAGAGUUUGCUGGACUACUGAGCAGGGCUGAUUCGACUCCACAAAUAUUCUGCCUCCGAGGCUAGAGAAAAGGGGGCUCAGGAACCCCAGGGAGAAAAGUUGAUGCUGCAAAAUGAUCUAAGAACAAAGGUGCAAAAACAUUUAAAUGUGUACUUCCGAAAGACAAGUAAUAAUUAGAAGAACACCACUACAUUAAAAACAUUUAUAACA